CAGAGCCUAAAAGUACCUUGCCACAGGUCAGCAAGCAUGAUGUCGCUUCGAGUUGAAUUUGACUACACUGCCAGGCUGGCUAAAAAGUGCAAAAUUUGGAUCUGGCUUUCAAACCCCUCUCAGUUUGAUAUUCUGUAAAGUAUCCCAAUUCAGGUGUUUGCAAAAUAAAUCUGUGACUUCAAGAAAGAAAUCAAAGAUGUGUGUAGCUGUUACUUGAAGCAGAGUACAUUGGAGUAAAGAAGACUCUGUGUGAAUUAAUAAUGAGACACAAAUGAGCAUGCAUAAGUGUGUGGUUAUGAACAUCUGUUUCAGGUACAUCAUUAGGGCACAAAAAGCCAGAACCUGCUCCCACUGAAGUCAAUUGGAAUUUUGCUGUUGACUUAGGGCUGGUCCACACUAACCCCCCACUUCGAACUAAGAUACGCAACUUCAGCUACGUUAUUCACGUAGCUGAAGUCGAACUAUCUUAGUUCGAACUUACCAUGGGUCCACACGUGGCAGGCAGGCUCCCCCGUCGACUCCGCGUACUCCUCUCGUGGAGCAGGAGUACUGGCGUCGACAGCGAGCACUUCCGGGAUCGAUCCCAGAAGAUCGAUUGCUUACCGCCGGACCUGGAGGUAAGUAUAGACGUACCCUUAAAUAGAAGCAAAUUUGAGUCCUUACAGGGGUAUGUGAAAAAAUGCUCGUGGCCAGAGAGUAUUCCUUUUUAAAAAAAGAGAGUAAUCUGAGAGUUGUUUGGACUAGAGAUUUGGAUACACAACUAUCUCUGACCCAAUGCAAUACAAAUGUAUUUAAUGUUAAAAAAAGCAACUAUCGAUCUGAGGGUAGGCUUAUUUAUCAAAAAACACUUUUUCAAAUAUAGUGUCCCCACAUACGCUAAUGGUAAUGGGCCUCAUAAAUGCUGACUGCUAUUGUAAUUGUAACUUCCGUGGUGCUACAUUAGCUCAUAUGUUUUGGGAGUGUCCCAGUAUCAAGAAUUUCUGAUACAAGCUGGGUCAAAGGGCUACCUUGAUACUAAGCUGGAGCCCUACCCCUUAAGUUUCACUCUUGGAUAUAUUUCUGAUGCCUGUAGUUACCUGGUAACAAAACAGUGUGGUUCUAAUAUACAGUUUUGGUCCCUAACAAAUGAAACCUGCAAAAAUGGAAAAGUCAAUCCCCACCAGACAUUGAUGACUGGUUCAGUGACAUGGCAGCAAAUGAAUGACUGGCAUUUUGCAGAAGGGGAAUGCCUGAAAAAUUCAAAACAAUUUAGGCUGACUUUUAUAAUUAAGGUAGAACUUGAAAAUAGAUAUGUUGCUUCCCCUGUCCUCUCUUAAUCCUAACCCUCUUUAUUUACUUCAUGUAUUAUGAUGAAUUUGGUAUUAUGGUACAUUUGUUAUAUUUGGAAAAAAUAAUAUAUAUAUAAAUAAUAAAAGAG